ensembl:snRNA U4 U4 spliceosomal RNA
AACUUUGUGCAGUGGCAGUAUCAUAGCCAAUGAGGUUUGUCUGAGACACGAUUAUUGAUAAUUGAAAACUAUUCCCAAUACCUCACCAGGAUGAUUUGGCAUAUAGUUGGCAUUGGCAAUUUUUGACUUGGCAAAAUAGUC